AUAUAUGCUAAACACUUACAACUGUUUGCAGAGGAAACUGAGACUUCAUAGCUAUGUCUCAGUUCUCAUCGCAAAGAAGUAAGUGCUUUGCCCAAGCCCCUUGAAGG
rnacentral:miRNA from 14 species